UGGUGGAAUACCCGGCAAUCCGAAACUUUCUUGAAUGAUAUUCAAGAGAAAAGGAUUCUAGAAAAAUUUAUAGAAUUAGAAGAACUAUUCCUCUUGGACGAAAUGAUAAAGGAAUACCCUGAAACACAGAUACAAAAGCUUCGUAUAGGAAUACACAAAGAAACGGUACAAUUAGUCAAAACACACGAUGAGUAUAAUCUCCAUAUCAUUUUUAAUUUAUCGACAAAUAUAAUCUGUUUCGCUAUUCUAAGUGGUUAUUGUAUUUUGGGUAAUGAAGAAC
rnacentral:misc_RNA from 1 species